rfam:Felis catus isolate Cinnamon breed Abyssinian chromosome C2, whole genome shotgun sequence.
GCCUGGGUGGUUUAGUUCGUUAAGCAUCUGACUUUGGCUCAGGUCACGAUCUCACGGUUAGCAGGUUCGAGCCCUGCGUUGGGCU